GAUGAACGCUGGCGGCGUGCCUAAUACAUGCAAGUCGAGCGAACAGACGAGGAGCUUGCUCCUCUGACGUUAGCGGCGGACGGGUGAGUAACACGUGGAUAACCUACCUAUAAGACUGGGAUAACUUCGGGAAACCGGAGCUAAUACCGGAUAAUAUAUUGAACCGCAUGGUUCAAUAGUGAAAGACGGUUUUGCUGUCACUUAUAGAUGGAUCCGCGCCGCAUUAGCUAGUUGGUAAGGUAACGGCUUACCAAGGCGACGAUGCGUAGCCGACCUGAGAGGGUGAUCGGCCACACUGGAACUGAGACACGGUCCAGACUCCUACGGGAGGCAGCAGUAGGGAAUCUUCCGCAAUGGGCGAAAGCCUGACGGAGCAACGCCGCGUGAGUGAUGAAGGUCUUCGGAUCGUAAAACUCUGUCAUUAGGGAAGAACAAAGGUGUAAGUAACUAUGCACGUCUUGACGGUACCUAAUCAGAAAGCCACGGCUAACUACGUG
rnacentral:rRNA from 1 species